rnacentral:rRNA from 1 species
UACGGAGGGGGCUAGCGUUGUUCGGAAUUACUGGGCGUAAAGGGCGCGUAGGCGGCCACCGCAAGUCGACUGUGAAAUCUCCGGGCUUAACCCGGAAAGGUCAGCCGAUACUGCGGGGCUAGAGUGCAGAAGGGGCAACUGGAAUUCUCGGUGUAGCGGUGAAAUGCGUAGAUAUCGAGAGGAACACCUGCGGCGAAGGCGGGUUGCUGGGCUGACACUGACGCUGAUGCGCGAAAGCGUGGGGAGCAAACAGG